UUUUAAAUACUUUUAGUUCACAUUUUUUAAUGUUUAAAAACUAUGUUAACAGAGCAGUUAUAGAACAGAACUUCUUAUAUUUCUUUAUUUACACCACACUCUGAAAAAAAAAACCCAGUUCUAUUUGAUUAACUAUGAAUAGCAAAGUUUUGUGACUUGUGACUCACUUAAAUCACCCAUCUGAAAUUCAUUUACAAGGUUUUUACAUUAAUAAAACAGUAGUGUGGUACAUGUAUUGGACUCAGAUGAAGUCUAAAGUACACUGGACUCUAGAGAGUGGAUUACAUACCAACGACCAAGAUUCAAGUGUUUGGGGAAAAAAAUACCUUAGACAGUCUAUGUUGGCGUCAACACUAAAAUAAAAGGCAAACAUGCAGGACUUUCAAAGCUUGAUUAGAUAAUGGUUCUUUGUUUUCUUUCCUUCAAAUUUGUGCUCAUAAUUAAUAUUCAGGUUCCCUCUCCCCGCUUUCAUAGAUCCCAAAGUUUGAGAAAUGCAGCAAUUCAAUUGUGAAAAAAACAUUCUUCUCCCCAGCUUCUGUUUUCAUAUGUACUGUGUAGUGGUAUCAGUGUUAAAAAUGGAAGAUCAUUAUGAAGAAACAAUUUGUCAUUUGGGUAUAUCUGUUUCUAUAGGACAAGGAUUUGUGUCUAAAUAUUCCUUACUUGUAUCUCAGAGGACUAUCUGUUAAAUAAUUGAUCUUAAUGCCAGCAUAAGAAAUCAAGGGAACUAUUUCUCAGACAUUUCUUUCUCUAAAUUAAGUAGGGUUUCAGGUUCCAAGUUUACAUUGAGAGAACUAUGUUACCUGGGAGAGAAUGUAAAUUUUUCUAAUUCCCAAACAAAACCACUAAUUUCUAGGAAACAUUUAUUGUUUAUAUGCAGAUCCUAGAGACUUCUAUUUCAGUGCAGAUCAACAACUUCAAAAAUAUACAGCCUCCUAUUUAUUUACAAUAAUAUUUACAUACAAAUGAAGUAUUUCCUGCAAUAAGCCUCAGCUGCAUAGAUUCUUCCUUUAAAAACGUAAAUUUGAGCCUGUAUACAGAUGGGCCCAGUUUCAUAGCCCUUCCUUAGAUAAAAGCCUAAAGAAGGAAAAUGUCUGCACCUUGUGAACUUUACAUAUUUUGCAAGAACUUUCUCUUUGAGAUUUAGUGAUAGUUUUUAGUUGUUAGACACCCCACCUUCAGCUUGUACCUGAAAGCUUUAUCUCGUUAUAAAUAAUUCACUGUAAUUUAGGGGAAGUAUGUCCUGUUGCUAAAGGAUUCUCAAACCUGCCAUCCCCAAGGAAAAUCAUGUAUUAGUAUUGCUAAAUGAUGGUCUGUAUAUUCUUUGUUUUGAAGGUGGCUAGAUGUUUGCUGUAAACUUGAAUGGGAGAAUUAUAUUCUUAAAGUUUACACCCCCUAUAAGCCUAAAGCCAUUUAAAUUGAUAAACUGAGAGAGACUAAUAGAUUUUGCUCUAAGGUAUAAAAUCCAUUAUCUGAUCAUAUUCCUGACCUCCCCCCGACUCCAACUAAAUGUGCCAUAGUCCAACACUGUGCCUCACUGAAUUGGAACUCAGUAUUUCAUUCUUUUGAGAGCAGUUUGUAGCUCCUUAAGCAGAGCAGACCUUUCAGUAGAGAAUUCGCUUUAAAAGGAGGACAGGAUUAUCACCACACGAUUAACACAAACACUGGAGAACUUCUGACACAAAUUCAGUAUUUCUUCUAAGUCUGCAUUUACAAAGGGUCUUUUAUUUUAAUUUCUUUCACAACUGCCUCGCCCCAACCAAAGCCUCACUUUCAUUUCCUCACAGCUUUAAAAAAUAAAAUAUUAUCAUGCCUCAGCCCGAGGUAACACCGAGUGCAGGCAGCCUGUGUUUAGGAAUUUGCACCUGCGCUGCUAUUUUCAACGAGAAGGGGAUAACCAGAAUAUAGAGGAAGCAUAAGUCCUGUUUCAAGAGACCAGCUCACGGAGCAUGCACAUUUCUCACCAUAGGCAAGCUAUGGACAAUUCAAUCACAUGGGAUGGCCCCACUUAGGGGAAUGCAGUUCUGGGUUUCCUUGCUAUCCCUAUUCUUUUUCAGCUACAAACUCUCUUCUUUUUCAGUCUCUUCAGUUUCCUUGUGCUCCCUUUAGGAGAGGGACAAGGGUAAGAGUACCAGGCAACUCUGUCCUCCUGCAUGGACAGUUGAGACGGGCAGUAAUGGCACAGUCCUUGGUUGGGGAAGAGAAGAGGAGACAGCACAGACACUGAGACCCCCUUGUCUUCCUCAUCUGGGGGAAGGAAGGUACUCAGUGAUUCUGUCAGAAGCUCUUCACAAAGACUAUCUCUGAGGGUUUUUUUUUUUUUUUUUUCACAAGACUAGAUGGAGAAUUAAUGAAGAAGAAAUAGAAAUGAGGCUUAUUUAAGGUACAAAAUUCUUGUAUUUGUAAUAACCUAGAUUUAUAGAUAUAAAACAAGUCUUUUAAAGACUUCCCUAAAAUACUCAAUAUAAAACAGGAGUUACUUAUCCU
rnacentral:lncRNA from 10 species